rnacentral:rRNA from 1 species
AGAGUUUGAUCCUGGCUCAGGAUGAACGCUAGCUACAGGCUUAACACAUGCAAGUCGAGGGGCAUCAGGAAGAAAGCUUGCUUUCUUUGCUGGCGACCGGCGCACGGGUGAGUAACACGUAUCCAACCUGCCCUUUACUCGGGGAUAGCCUUUCGAAAGAAAGAUUAAUACCCGAUAGUAUAAUGAUUCCGCAUGGUUUCAUUAUUAAAGGAUUCCGGUAAAGGAUGGGGAUGCGUUCCAUUAGGUUGUUGGUGAGGUAACGGCCCACCAAGCCUUCGAUGGAUAGGGGUUCUGAGAGGAAGGUCCCCCACAUUGGAACUGAGACACGGUCCAAACUCCUACGGGAGGCAGCAGUGAGGAAUAUUGGUCAAUGGGCGCGAGCCUGAACCAGCCAAGUAGCGUGAAGGAUGACUGCCCUAUGGGUUGUAAACUUCUUUUAUAUUAGAAUAAAGUGCAGUAUGUAUACUGUUUUGUAUGUAUAAUAUGAAUAAGGAUCGGCUAACUCCGUGCCAGCAGCCGCGGUAAUACGGAGGAUCCGAGCGUUAUCCGGAUUUAUUGGGUUUAAAGGGAGCGUAGGUGGACUGGUAAGUCAGUUGUGAAAGUUUGCGGCUCAACCGUAAAAUUGCAGUUGAUACUGUCAGUCUUGAGUACAGUAGAGGUGGGCGGAAUUCGUGGUGUAGCGGUGAAAUGCUUAGAUAUCACGAAGAACUCCGAUUGCGAAGGCAGCUCACUGGACUGCAACUGACACUGAUGCUCGAAAGUGUGGGUAUCAAACAGGAUUAGAUACCCUGGUAGUCCACACAGUAAACGAUGAAUACUCGCUGUUUGCGAUAUACAGUAAGCGGCCAAGCGAAAGCAUUAAGUAUUCCACCUGGGGAGUACGCCGGCAACGGUGAAACUCAAAGGAAUUGACGGGGGCCCGCACAAGCGGAGGAACAUGUGGUUUAAUUCGAUGAUACGCGAGGAACCUUACCCGGGCUUAAAUUGCAGUGGAAUGAUGUGGAAACAUGUCAGUGAGCAAUCACCGCUGUGAAGGUGCUGCAUGGUUGUCGUCAGCUCGUGCCGUGAGGUGUCGGCUUAAGUGCCAUAACGAGCGCAACCCUUAUCUUCAGUUACUAACAGGUCAUGCUGAGGACUCUGGAGAGACUGCCGUCGUAAGAUGUGAGGAAGGUGGGGAUGACGUCAAAUCAGCACGGCCCUUACGUCCGGGGCUACACACGUGUUACAAUGGGGGGUACAGAAGGCAGCUACCUGGUGACAGGAUGCUAAUCCCAAAAGCCUCUCUCAGUUCGGAUCGAAGUCUGCAACCCGACUUCGUGAAGCUGGAUUCGCUAGUAAUCGCGCAUCAGCCACGGCGCGGUGAAUACGUUCCCGGGCCUUGUACACACCGCCCGUC